GCCGGCGUGGCCAAAUGGUUACGGCGUUUCCUUCCUAGCCUCGGGUUUAAAACCCGAAUUUGGACGAGGUGAAGAUUGUGGGUUCGAUCCCCACCGUUGGUU
rfam:Cryptococcus bestiolae CBS 10118 unplaced genomic scaffold supercont1.3, whole genome shotgun sequence.